rnacentral:rRNA from 1 species
UACGAAGGGGGCUAGCGUUGCUCGGAAUUACUGGGCGUAAAGGGCGCGUAGGCGGCCAGCACAAGUCGGUUGUGAAAUCUCCGGGCUUAACUCGGAACGGUCAAGUGAUACUGUCGGACUAGAGUACAGAAGGGGCAAUCGGAAUUCUUGGUGUAGCGGUGAAAUGCGUAGAUAUCAAGAGGAACACCUGAGGUGAAGACGGGUUGCUGGGCUGACACUGACGCUGAGGCGCGAAAGCCAGGGGAGCAAACGGGG